rnacentral:pre_miRNA from 1 species
GUUUCACAAUAUCGUCGAUAUGGAAGAUUUCAUUCCUAUCUUGGUGUUCGUCCCAUGGUUCGAGGUCCUUGUGGAACUU